rnacentral:lncRNA from 1 species
GCUGCAAAUGGUGGCGUUGCCUCUUCCCAGCUUAUGUGGAAGGCCUCAUCAUUACAUGUGACGAGAAUCAGAAUGCUGAUGUAAUUCCAGUCUGAAAUACAUACACAUAAUUACGUAUGUUUUGCUUAUCUGUUAUAUUCUGUAGAUCCUAUAUAUAUAUAUAUGUUGUAUAGCCAAGAGUUAGGCCCUAAAACAGAAGAAAAGAAAAGGAAACCAUGUACUGUCAUCAUAUGAGAUUUUUGCCUCUUUUGAUGGGGUUAUGUUCUGUGUACAUUAAAAGCUUCAAAUGUAAAAUUGAAAUUUUCUACCA